UACGUAGGGUGCGAGCGUUGUCCGGAAUUACUGGGCGUAAAGAGCUCGUAGGUGGUUUGUCGCGUUGUCCGUGAAAACUCACAACUCAAUUGUGGGCGUGCGGGCGAUACGGGCAGACUGGAGUACUGCAGGGGAGACUGGAAUUCCUGGUGUAGCGGUGGAAUGCGCAGAUAUCAGGAGGAACACCGAUGGCGAAGGCAGGUCUCUGGGCCGCAACUGACGCUGAGGAGCGAAAGCAUGGGGAGCGAACAGG
rnacentral:rRNA from 1 species